AGUGAACGCUGGCGGUAGGCCUAACACAUGCAAGUCGAACGGCAGCACAGUAAGAGCUUGCUCUUACGGGUGGCGAGUGGCGGACGGGUGAGGAAUACAUCGGAAUCUACUUUUUCGUGGGGGAUCACGUAGGGAAACUUACGCUAAUACCGCAUACGACCUACGGGUGAAAGCAGGGGAUCUUCGGACCUUGCGCGAUUGAAUGAGCCGCUGUCGGAUUAGCUAGUUGGCGGGGUAAAGGCCCACCAAGGCGACGAUCCGUAGCUGGUCUGAGAGGAUGAUCAGCCACACUGGAACUGAGACACGGUCCAGACUCCUACGGGAGGCAGCAGUGGGGAAUAUUGGACAAUGGGCGCAAGCCUGAUCCAGCCAUACCGCGUGGGUGAAGAAGGCCUGCGGGUUGUAAAGCCCUUUUGUUGGGAAAGAAAAGCAGCAGGUUAAUACCCCGCUGUUCUGACGGUACCCAAAGAAUAAGCACCGGCUAACUUCGU
rnacentral:rRNA from 1 species